rnacentral:lncRNA from 1 species
AUGACUGAAAAGUACAGCUUGGAAGGGCACAUUUCAUCUCUUCUCCACCCAAAGAACCUUGUCCGGGCUCUUCUGUCUCUUUCCUUAGAACCAGUAAUGCAUUCUAUUUACACUGGGCCCUUACUGCCCAGUGCAAGCUGCGAGCUAAGUGACCCGUGUAAGGCACGACAGCUUGGAACGAAGCUGAAUUCUCAGAAGUCUCCAGGCUUGUGUGCUGCCCCACAGAGGAUCAUGAGUGUGGUGUGUGCAGUGGUUUUCAGCCAGUUCUCAAUUGCCAGAACCAUCCAAAAGGUCUUUUGUAACUCCAAUAAAACUAAAGGUUCCAUGUGGCUCUGGAUCUGUUUGGGGCUCAUAUAAAGAAACAUUGCUCAGCAAUUGAAAGUCUUUUAUCUUUUAUUUUUGGGCUGAUCUGGGUCUUCAUUGCUGAGCGAACUUAGUCGCCCUGAGGCAUGUGGAAUCUCCAUUCCCAGACCAGGGACUGAAGCAGCAUCUCCUGCAUUCUAAGGCGGAUUCUUCACCACUGGAUCACCAGGGAAGUCCUGAGAGUCAUUAAAAAAAAAAAAAAAAAAUCCAAUUAGUUCUUUAUAUCUCUUGAAGAGAUAUAAAUGCUUAGUAAAGUUUUUCUAAAGCCCCUUUUACUCCUCCCCAGUUCGCUCCCAUCCAUAGCUACUCAAGGGCCUUUUGCAUGUCAAAAGCUCCCAUGCCCUCUCCAGCACCCAAAUAUCUCCCCUCUUUCUGAGUUCUUUAUUAUGAAAGGUGUUAGUGUCUGGUCUUGUUCCUUGUCCUCCAGGUUCUCUUCCCACUCAUUGUCCCAGUUCUCCAUCUCAGAAGAUCUUUAUCAAAGUUGAGGCAGAACUCUCCUUAAAAUGCUCAUUAAAAUACUCUUUAAAAUACUCAUACAUUUCAAUAAGUCUGUCCCUCCCUGUCUCAUAAGCAUUGUCGGGGAAACAGAUUUACAGUCUCAUAUGUUAAUACACAUAGGUUAUUCUACUACUAUGUAUUUCAGAGAAACAGAACCCAUAGGAUUUAUAUAGAUAGAUAAACAGAUUAGAUACAGAUAUGGGUUUUAUUAUGGGAAUUGGCUUGCUUGGUUAUGGAAGCCAAGAAUUCACACAAUCUGCCAUCUGCAAGCUUAAAAACCAGGAAAACUAGCUGGUGGUAUAAUUCUGUUCAAGUCUCAAGGCCAGAGAAUCUGAGGAGGUACUGGAUGACUCCUGGAGUCCAAAGGCUCAAGAACCAGGAGUUACUAUGUCCAAGGGCAGGAGAAGGUGGACGUCCCAGCUCAAAAAGACACGGGGAAUUCGCCCUUCCUCCACUUUUUCACUUUUCAGUUGAACUGGGUGAUGCCCACCUACACUGGUGAAAGCAGAUCUUCUUUACUCAGUCUAUUGAUUCUAAAUGCUAAUCUCUUCUGGAAACAUCCUCACAGACACAUCCAGAAAUAAUGUUUUACUGGCUAUCUGGGCAUCCUUUAUCCCAAUCAAACUGACACAUAAAAUUAACCAUCACACAUUCCAUCUGUCUUUUGCUUUUUUUUGGACAGGCAUGCAGGCUCUUUAGUUGUAGCACAUGGACUUAGUUGCCCCACAGCAUGUGAGGUCCAGGAGGCUGACCUGUGGGGGUCUGUAUCAAGAGCAUCCCUUGCCCUCUGGUUCCUUGUUGGGCUUGGCCAGUGGGAGCCAUUGACAAGAGAUGGGAAGGCAGAGGUUGGGAUGUUUAUUCUGCCAGCUCCCCCAUUGCUGGAUUGAUGGUUGGCCCAGGCUCCAACCCUAGGCCCUCUCCCAACUACUCUCCUCCGGCAGGCUCUGGUCACUUCUCCCCACUUUCCCCUGCAGCCUGGAGGUGCUAGUGAGUUCCUGUUGUUGCCGGUCCCUGAGUGUCUUACCACCUUUCCUGGCUUCCUUACCCUUGUUGCUUCUCUGCAGCCUAUAAACAGCUCCUUCAUCCAGCUCUCCUCAUUGCCUGGAGUGACAGCACCUGGACGAUUCAGGGCCCCUGUCUUACAUAGCUUUAUCACCUCAUGGACUCUCAUCGCUAUGGACUGGAGAGGUGAAGGAGGAUUACACUCUUAUUUUAUGGAGGUUCUGGCAUGUAAAACUUUCAAUAGUGAUUCAGCCAGAUGUCAAGGUCUAACGUACCUUUGGUCUGGAACACCUAUUAAUACCAUUUUGGGCCAAGUUAAGGAUUUAGUCAGUGGCUAAAGAACAGUGUCUCUCUGAAAAGCUCAGUGACAAUGAAUACACCAGUUGUCACUACUGUGACCUAACUGAGGGACAACCCCAACCAGACAGGAAGCGCUAAAAUUCAGGGUGGGACUCUGCUGCACUGUGUAGCCAGUUUACCUUACUCUGACCACAAGACCAAAAAAGAUAGAGAAAUACCCAGUACAUGCCACCGGAAGACUGAGCCAGCAAUCAGCAUGAUCUGAGCUAUUCUGAAAAACUCCUCACUCCAAAAAAACCUACCCACAUCCCCCAUUUCCAUCCCAGGCCUGAUUAGAAUAAAAUCAUAUCUGCUCAUAUCUGAAAUUUCAUCAUUGAAGACUUACAACUUUGCCUUUAGGCCAAAUGGAAAUAUUGCCCUGAAAGGAGUCAUUUAGUUAUAUUUGAUGAAUAUUUCCAAAUUCUGUGCAAGGCACUGCUGAACGCUAUUGAAUGUUUUAAUCCUACCAGUCACCCUUGAGUAGGAAUAAGCCAAAUACCAGGAGAAGAAGGUGAAACUGCAGAGAGGUGGAGAGAAAUAUGCUAAAAAGAGAGGAAGUUGCCUUUAUUCAUACUGGGCUCUGGGAAGAGGCUCUGGAUUAGAAACAUAAAUAAGGGGUCUGCAGCACAUCAGUCAGUUCAGUUCAGUCGCUCAGUCGUGUCCAACUCUUUACGACCCCAUGAAUUGCAGCACGCCAGGCCUCCCGUCCUUCACCAUCUCCCUGAGCUUGCUCAAAGUCAUGUCCAUUGAGUCAGUGAUGUCAUCCAACCAUCUCGUCCUCUGUCGUCCCCUUCUCCUUCUGCCUUCAAUUUUUCCCAGUAUCAGGGUCUUUCUAAUGAAUCUAAUCAGGUGGCCAAGCUUCAGCUUCAGUCCUUCCAAUGCAUAUUCAGGAUAGAUUUCCUUUAGGAUUGACUGGUUUAUUUAUCUAUUGCUGUUGAAAAAAAAUUCCCAACACUUAGUAGCUUAAAACAAUGGACAUUAUCUCUUAUUUUUAAGAGAUAGAACUUGGAAUUUGGAGGGAGCUUAUCUGGACAAUUCUGGGAUCUCUCAUGAGGUUGCAGUCAAGAUAUUAUCAGGGGACUUCCCUGGUGGUCCAGUGGCUAAGACUCUGUGCUCCCAAUGCGGGGGCCUGGGUUCCAUCCGUGGUCAGGGAACCAGAUCUUGCAUGCUGCACCGAAGACUCAGUGCAGCCAAAUUAAUAAAUUAAUUAACUUUUAAAAAUAUAUAUUUUGUCUGGACUUUGAUCAUCUGAAAGCUUGACUGGAACUGGAGAAUCUGCUUCCACUAUGGUCCACAUGCAUGACUGGCAAACCAGAUGUGAUUGUUGGCAAAAGACCCAGUUUCGUUGUGUGAGCAGUUAGCAGACAAAUGGUGAAGUAACUGGAGAGGAAAGUAGAAGCAAAGAUUCUUUUUUUUUUUUUUUUUUUUAAUUUUUAAACUUUACAUAAUUGUAUUAGUUUUGCCAAAUAUCAAAAUGAAUCCAUACAGGUAUACAUGUGUUCCCCAUCCUGAACCCUCCUCCCUCCUCCCUCCCCAUACCAUCCCUCUGGGUCGUCCCAGUGCACCAGCCCCAAGCAUCCAGUAUUGUGCAUCGAACCUGGACUGGCAACUCGUUUCUUACAUGAUAUUUUACAUGUUUCAAUGCCAUUCUCCCAAAUCUUCCCACCCUCUCCCUCUCCCACAGAGUCCAUAAGACUGUUCUAUACAUCAGUGUCUCUUUUGCUGUCUCGUACACCGGGUUAUUGUUACCAUCUUUCUAAAUUCCAUAUAUAUGCGUUAGUAUACUGGGCCAAAGAACUAAAUAGACAUUUCUCCAAAGAAGACAUACAGAUGGCUAACAAACACAUGAAAAGAUGCUCAACAUCACUCAUUAUCAGAGAAAUGCAAAUCAAAACCACUAUGAGGUACCAUUUCACACCAGUCAGAAUGGCUUGAUCCAA